rnacentral:lncRNA from 10 species
ACGGGGUUUCACCGUGUUAGCCAGGAUGGUCUUGCACUCCUGACCUCGUCCACCCUCCUUCUCCUCCCAAAGUGCUGGGAUUACAUGCGUGAGCCACCGCGCCUGGCCCUGGUGCCCUUUUAAAAACAGGAAGAGGGAGAGAGUGAUCUUGCUCUAGCAACACAUGAGAAGAGGCAACCGUGGCACCCAGCCUUCUUUCUCUCCGUGCUCCUCUGCAUUUACCAUCUCGCAGGGAACCAAUUGAUGCUGAAAUGGAUAGAAGUAGCACGAGUGAAAACUGAAGCAGAGGCAUCAGGAAGACGCAUCCUCAGAAGCUGUAAGACAGCAUGGCGUGGGAGACGGCCCCUCUGUUUCGUCUCCUCAAGUUCCGUGGCAGACUAGUAAGACUGAGUUUGACACCUUGGGAGAGACACGUCUGCCAAGUUUGUCAUCCAUUAAAUUCACAUUAAAUGAUAAGAGUUGACCACA